rnacentral:rRNA from 1 species
GUAAAGAGCGGCGGACGGGUGAGUAACGCGUGGGUAACCUACCCUGUACACACGGAUAACAUACCGAAAGGUAUGCUAAUACGGGAUAAUAUAUUUGAGAGGCAUCUCUUGAAUAUCAAAGGUGAGCCAGUACAGGAUGGACCCGCGUCUGAUUAGCUAGUUGGUAAGGUAACGGCUUACCAAGGCGACGAUCAGUAGCCGACCUGAGAGGGUGAUCGGCCACAUUGGAACUGAGACACGGUCCAAACUCCUACGGGAGGCAGCAGUGGGGAAUAUUGCACAAUGGGCGAAAGCCUGAUGCAGCAACGCCGCGUGAGUGAUGAAGGCCUUCGGGUCGUAAAACUCUGUCCUCAAGGAAGAUAAUGACGGUACUUGAGGAGGAAGCCCCGGCUAACUACGUGCCAGCAGCCGCGGUAAUACGUAGGGGGCUAGCGUUAUCCGGAUUUACUGGGCGUAAAGGGUGCGUAGGCGGUCUUUCAAGUCAGGAGUGAAAGGCUACGGCUCAACCGUAGUAAGCUCUUGAAACUGGGAGACUUGAGUGCAGGAGAGGAGAGUGGAAUUCCUAGUGUAGCGGUGAAAUGCGUAGAUAUUAGGAGGAACACCAGUUGCGAAGGCGGCUCUCUGGACUGUAACUGACGCUGAGGCACGAAAGCGUGGGGAGCAAACAGGAUUAGAUACCCUGGUAGUCCACGCUGUAAACGAUGAGUACUAGGUGUCGGGGGUUACCCCC